CCAAACCCUCCCCUGACCCGGACGAGUUACACUAAAUACACCACCUAUUCCCUGAUGACCGAUGACACCAAUGAGAUUGUGCAGACUGAACUGAUACAGUUACAGGUCACAGAGGCACCCAGCUCUGUUACGAUGGAGGCAAUUGGCUUCAAGUGGGCCCUGACAGAGCUGUUGGACAACAUGGGUCUCCAAGUGGAUGUGGUCACAACUGAACGAUGAGGGAGCACUUCUCUGACAUCCAACAUGAGCUCGAUGUGUGGCACACAGUGAAAGGAGCACAUCUGUGACGUACACAGCUGGACAGAGGGGAGGGGGAAGUUCACUGUCAACACCCUGACCUGUCUGAUGAUGACCAUGGCAAGAAGAAGUGGCUUUCCAUGGACUCAGUUAUCACACAGGUCACCCCAAAGCGGCAGCAUUUUGGGCUCCUGGGCAUGAAGGAGCGGACACAUCUUGCUAUCCUGGAUUAUAAUGAGAAUGUGGGACGCAAACAAGCCAGGAUAGCCAAAGGACACCUGCAGUACAAACACAUCUUCCUCAAGAGGUCAAAGCAGUGGGUGGGAGAGGCAUGCUCCCCAAACCCAACAUCCCUUCUAACAUCGCUACAGCACUAAUGCCUGCUAACCAGCUGCCAUUGCCCAACACAAGAACAGUUUCACCAGCUUAAGAACAUUCAGGACCCUGCCUGGAACAUUCAGUCAACAUGGUUCUAAGCAGACAUAUGGAAUUGUUUUAAGAUGGUCAUACUAUGGAUCAUUUAGCUAUUUGAUUUAGAAUUUUAU